GAGAGAGAGAGAGAGAGAGAGAGAGGGAGAAAGAGGGGGAGAGAGAGAGAGAGAGGGAGAGACAGAAAGAGGCUUCCUCUGGACAUCGGCCAUGGUGAGCAGAGGGAAAAGCUACUGAGAGAAGUCCACUAAUGGGCAAGCUUAUGACAUGUCCAGUCCAGAAUGGAUCAAAUGUAGAGGGCAUUUCUGCUCUAAAAGGUCAGAGUGUUUGGUUUCACAAGGGGUCACGUCAGCUAUGAAAUAUGUAUGUAACACAUGUUAAUGUGUUGCAUUAUUAUUAUUAUUAUUAUUAUUAUUAUUAUUAUUAUUAUUUACAGAUCAAUUAUUUCACACUGACCAACACAUACUGUUUAUCUAAAAUGUAACAGCUUUGUAAAUGUAAGAAACCUACGACACAGAAACAAUAAUCCCACAGUCUAGACCACAGACAUGUAAAAAUUCACUCAUGGUUUUGACUAUUUUUCCUUAAAUGUAAAUUUUUUUAGUUUGGUUUGGUCUCAUUGAUUACGGCUUACAGCUCAUGGAAGUCAAAAAUCCAGUAUCUCGGAAUAUUAGAAUAAAGAAUUUAUAAUACAGAAAUGUCGACCUGAGAAGAACUCUAAUCAGCUAAUUAACUCAAAACACCUGCAAAGUGUUCCUGAGGCUUUAAUCUCUCAGUCUGGUUCAGUACACAACCACAAUCACGGGGAAAAUGAAAGGAAAUGUUGCAUUACGUUUGGAAAUCAAGGUUCCAGAGUCUGGAGGAUGAGUGGAGAGGAACAGAAUCCAAGCUGCUUGAAGUCCAGUGUGAAGUUUCCACAGUCAGUGAUGAUUUGAGGUGCCAUGUCAUCUGCUGGUGUUGGUCCACUGUGUUUUCUCAAGUCGAGAGUCGAUGCAGCGUCUACCAGGAGAUUUUAGAGCACGUCAUGCUUCCAUCUGCUGACGAGUUUUAUGGAGAUGCUGAUUUCAUUUUCCAGCAGGACCCGGCACCUGCCAAGUAUCUGGUUUGCUGACUGUGGUGUUACUGUGCUCGAUUGGCCAGCCAGCUCGCCUGACCCGAACCCCAUAGAGAAUCUAUGAGAGACACCAGACCCAACAAAACAGACGAGCUGAAGGCCGCUAUCAAAGCAACCUGGGCUUCCAGAACACCUCAGCAGUGCCACAGGCUGAUCGUCUCCAUGUCACGCCGCACUGAUGCAGUAAUUCCUGCAAAAGGAUUAAAGUUCAGACCGAGUAUCGAGCGUAUAAAUGAACAUACUUUUCACAAGGUCGACAUUUCUGUAUUAUAAAUUCUAAUAUUCUGAGAUACUGGAUUUUUGAUUUCCAUGAGCUAAGUCCCCAAGUCUGCGAUGAACCCCUCCAGAGCUUCUCCUGCUUUAGCCAAUAUAGACCCUGUACGUCCUGAGGGGGCAAAAUAUCAGAAGGGAGUCAGCUGCUUUUAUUCAUUUCUCUUUUCCUUCCUUCAAUCCCUCCCUCCUGGUUUCUUGCAGCCCUUCCUGCUCGCUUGUCUUCAAAUGGAUGGCUGGCUGUCUUGCCUGGCAGCCAGGAGAAAGCUUUCAGUUAAAAGGAUCACAGGAGCAGGUCGGUGCAUGCUGUCAUUUGAAUAUCCUGCUAUGAUUGUUGCGGUGACAACUGAUGCCAUGUGACGACUGUUGUCUGAGGAAAAUUCCUGGCUCAGAGACAAAAUACAACUGUUUUUUUUUUGUUUUUUUUU
ensembl:lncRNA